ACACCAAUGGUAGUGUGGGGCAUCCCCAUGUGAGAGUAGGUCACUGCUAAUUCUCAUUCCGGAGUGGUAGUUCAGCUGGUUAGAAUACCUGCCUGUCACGCAGGGGGUCGCGGGU
rnacentral:rRNA from 1 species